UACGUAGGGUGCGAGCGUUGUCCGGAAUUAUUGGGCGUAAAGGGCUCGUAGGCGGUUUGUCGCGUCGGGAGUGAAAACCCAGGGCUUAACUCUGGGCUUGCUUUCGAUACGGGCAGACUAGAGGUAUGCAGGGGAGAACGGAAUUCCUGGUGUAGCGGUGAAAUGCGCAGAUAUCAGGAGGAACACCGGUGGCGAAGGCGGUUCUCGUGG
rnacentral:rRNA from 1 species